GUGCUCCUGCCCUGAUGGUGAUUAGGCUAAAAGGCUUUUCCUACAAUUUGAUUUUAGACGGGAGUCUAAGUAAGGCUGUUGCAGUGCAUACCAUUUUACAUGGGAGCCGGAGACACUCUUUAAGACACCCACCUGUAGACACCGGGUCUAAAGCUUUUUAGUCUACACCUCUAGGGCGGGGCAAUU
rfam:Candidatus Magnetobacterium bavaricum SAG42160, whole genome shotgun sequence.